rnacentral:lncRNA from 1 species
UUAACCCUGCCCAAUUCAGUUAGCAAACCUGACCAAGACCUGUCCAAUUCAGUUAGCAAACCAACACCCUCUAACCGAAUUCCUCAACUCUUCAUAGCACCCUGCAAUUAUAAACAAAAAGGUCCAACUGAUAACAACUCAGGGGGGAGAAUUUCCAAAACCCUUAACUGCUAACUGAUAACAAAACCUGCAAGAACACACUCAACUCUCUAACAUAACUCCCAAUCCAUCCACAACCCUGGACUCCAAUAACCAACCUUCAAU